GGCUUGGUGGCAUAAUGGUAACGCGCUCCGUGUCCUUUACAGUAUUUGUAUAUCGUUUGACGGAAAGUUUGGAGUUCAAUUAUCCGUCAAGCCA